rnacentral:lncRNA from 1 species
CAAAAAUAUCUAAAAUAAAUGGCCAAAUUCAUCUAAAGUCAACUUUGCCUGAGGGAGUUGAAACCUUAAUACCUUAAAUGUCCGUAUUGUUACACAAUGACAAUUUAAAGUGUCACAAUAUGAUACUAUAAAACAUAUAUAGCUGAGAGGAUGAUGGAGCAGAUUGGUACAUCUCGAAAACCCUUGUCAACCUCUCAGCUAUUUGUUAUUCAAUUAAGUAUACUAAAUAAUCUAUAUUUUUUAUAAAUUUGUCUGUUAAAUUUUACUACUUUUAUUAAAUAAUACGAUAAAAAAAACCAGCCCUAAUACUACCAAAACGGCAUGUGUCAUACUGGUGACGUCAUCCUGGUCAUAUAAAUCACGUGAUCUAUAUUGCUUUUCAGCCGGGUCCAAUAUUUCCAAUGAAUCCUGAAUGACAUGUAAACAUAUAUUGUGCAUGUAAUUCAUGAUUCAUUGCCAGUCCGUAUUGAAAAUAUUGGCCCUAUAUUCACUUCAUUGCCAGUCCGUUUUGGAAAUAUUGGCCAAAUAUUUACAUUUUAUGUAUGUAAUACAGAAUUCAGAACAAGUCUGUAUUGAAAAAGUGGAUUAUUGAAUAAAAGUGUUUUGAACUGGCUGUUUCUGUAUUGGCACUAGUAUAGAUUCUUCUUCGGGUCUCGAGGCCAAUACAGCACACCUUGAAUCUAUACCAGUGUCAAUACAGAAAAAGUCAGUUAACAACACUAUAAUACAUGACGGCAGGUAUGUAACAACGUAACAAUAAUUUUUUUUUUUAAUUUUUAUUUUUUUAUCCAACAUAUAUAAUAUACAACAGUACAGUUAUCAAACACUAAGCUCAUAUAUAUGAAUGUAAUAUAAUACAACCUAUCAGAAAAUGUAUAGAACUUGAAAAUAACAUUUUGUUGGGAUUUUAUAAUUGUAUCUUAUUAAAAAGGACAUACAAAAAAAAGUAUAUAGAAUUAAUAAAUAAAAGAAUUAAAAGAUGAUUAAGAAAAAUUAAAAAAAAAAACGAAAAAAAAAAAAAAAAAAAAAAAAAAAAAAAAAAUUUAGUUUGAUGUCUGCUAAUUUUGUAUAGUUGCUAAUCCACCAAAUUAUCCUGUAAAGCCUCUUGGUAAAUGCACCAAGCUUGAUUAAACUUGUCAAAACAUUUAUUUUUAAUUGAUAUCUUCUUUUCCAAAAUAUAAUUAUGCUUUAUUUUUUCAAUCAAUGCUGUUAAACUUAAUUCUCCUUUAAAAUAUCGUGUAUUAUAAAUAUAUUGUUUAAUCCAGAGAAAAAUAUUGUUUUGAGGGUCACCUUUGUACAUUCGUGAUAUAUUUCCAAACAAAAAAAUAUCUUGUGUAAAUGGUAUACUAAUACCAUUCUGGAGAAACCACAUUUCAGUUUGCUCAAUAAAUUGUUGUACAUAAUAACAGUCCACAGUAUAUGUUCAAUUGAUUCAAGUUCAGUGUUACAAAAAGUACAAUAUGGGUUUUGCACUAUCCCAAUUUUGUUUAAAAACGUAUUUGUUGCCAGAAUUUUAUGAUUAAUUCUAUACUGAAGCCAUUGUAGCUUAGUAUUUUUUGUAAUAGCAAAUGGUAAUUGAAAAAUCUUAUUCCAGUUUUGAUUUUCUAAAACUAAAAUUGCUUCCCAUCUUUUUACUCCUGUAGGAACAGUGUUGUUUUUGUUUAGCACCAAAUACAUAUCUUUAGAUCCCUUUUUGCUUUUGAGAAUGGUCUUUAUUACUGAUGGUAUGAAAGGAGAUACUAAUUUAUAAUCUCCCCUAUUAAUUUUUUUGGAAGUCUUAGUUAGCACAGAAAUUAUGCUAUUAUAUUUUAUGAUGUCUAUAUCCAUCUGAAAACACUCCUGAAAUUGAUAAAAAUUUAGAAAGGUACCAUUCUCCCCAACAAUAUCAUUUACAUGUAUAAUACCCUUACUAUGCCAGUCUUUGAAAAACACUGGUUUGUUGUCAAUUUGGAAUAGGUUAUUCAUCCAAAUUGUACUAGAAAGAAAAUAUUCCCAGUCGUGCAAAUUUAUUUCUUUUUCAAUUACCGUUACAAUAAUUAGAAACCUAACAAGUAAUGCAAUAUUUUUUGUUAUUUGAACAGUGUGAAAUUUGAAAAAAAAAUCUGAGGAUAAAACGUAGAACAUGUGUAUGGUUUAAUUAAAUUGAUAUAAGUUAAGCCAUAGGAUAGAGUAAUCCAAUCACAAUCUGUCAUAUAUACGUGCUUUAUAAUAAAUGAAUGCCUUAAACGCAGUUAUAUACAAUUUAUCUUCAUGCAUAUGUAUCAAACGCGUUAACUCUUUGGAAUCACGGUGUAUCAAAACACCUUUGAUAUAUAUGUACAUAUUCAAUACAAAGUCAAUAUCAGAUGAUUAUCAAUUAUUUUCUGUAAGACUAAUACAUUGUACAUAUUGAGCUUAUCUCGGUAUGGUAUACAGAGUAUGAUAACAAGUAAGUUACAGUAUUCAACUCAACUCUCAUGAAUACUUCCCCAUCGAUAAACAUUAAAUGUGUUUUUUUAAUUUGAUAGAUGCUUUUUGUAAAUGUUUGUUCGUUUUGAGACUAUAACGCAGAGAUGACAGCUGUAACCAUAGUUUAUCUAUUUUACCGAUUAUGUCGGUUUUGUUCAAGCAUCGUUGUAAAAAUAACGGCAUUUUAUGCGACUGUCAUCAAAGUGAGAGGUUUAUCGUUAUAAAACAAGGUUCAUUCCACCAUUUUCUACGUUUGAAAUUGCCUGUACCAAAUCAGGAAUAUGACAGUUGUUGUCCAUUCGUUUGAUGUGCUUUAUCAUUUGAUUUUGGCAUUUGAUUAGGGACUUUCCGAUUGAAUUUUCCUCUGAGUUCAGUAUUGUAAGUAUAGAUAAAUACAAAAGUCUUAUAAAUGUUCCGACAUGUGAGUCAGUGUUUAAUUUUAUUCUUGCCAACACAAAAAGUGGCAUCGCACAUUUCGUUUGUAAAUAAAGCAAAGUGACAAGUAAGAGUCAUUUUUCAUGGAAAGAAAAAGCUGAUAAUACAGAUAAAAAAUCAGGAACAUUAUUUAUUGGAAACAUUUUCUUGCUAGAGAUAAUCGAAGUUGUUAAUUUUUUCCUUGACUACAUUUAUGUACAUUCAUUAUAGCCGGUUGCAUUGAGUGUGUAGAUAAAGGUAAUACCUGGGAUCUUUGGUUAGCUUGCUUGAUAGCUGAACCGCGAAGUCAUCAUUGGGUUAGGUAAUAGUUCAGUUUGUAUGUAAAUUAGGUCAACUUUUUUGUAUGAGGCUGAGAAACUGGGGAAGGGCGAGGUUCUUCCCCAGUUUUGCGCUGAGUAUAAAAAAAGUUGAUAUUUUUCUGACAUUGACCUAAUAUUGUAUUUAUACUGCAACUUAAAUAAAU